rnacentral:rRNA from 1 species
UACGUAGGGGGCAAGCGUUAUCCGGAUUUACUGGGUGUAAAGGGAGCGUAGACGGCGAUGCAAGUCUGAAGUGAAAGGCGGGGGCCCAACCCCCGGACUGCUUUGGAAACUGUAUAGCUGGAGUGCAGGAGAGGUAAGUGGAAUUCCUAGUGUAGCGGUGAAAUGCGUAGAUAUUAGGAGGAACACCAGUGGCGAAGGCGGCUUACUGGACUGUAACUGACGUUGAGGCUCGAAAGCGUGGGGAGCAAACAGG